AAAAAAAAAAAAAAAAGAGAAAAUCUUCGAUGCUUUUCUGAAACCGGUUUCAAAAGCAAUGUGCUCAAGGCUGUUGUUAGUAGGGCGACAGUCAGUAUUGAGGUAUGGUACUUGUCAAUAUGUUAGACAUUGGAUUUUGAAAAAAAUCCCUGCGAAGCAUGGUAUCGGUUUUAGAGGUUUGAUUAUGAAAGCCUUCCCCUUCUUUCUUCAUGGUAGAGGUGGCUGUUGCUUCCUUGCCAGAGGAUUUGCAUCAUCUUUGUAUAUUUUGCUAUGAAUUUUGCUCAAUAGGCUCCUCUUGCUCUCUGGUGCAGGAUAUGAAGCGACAA
rnacentral:misc_RNA from 1 species